GAUGAACGCUAGCGAUAGGCUUAACACAUGCAAGUCGAGGGGCAGCAUGGUCUUAGCUUGCUAAGACUGAUGGCGACCGGCGCACGGGUGCGUAACGCGUAUGCAACUUGCCUCACAGAGGGGGAUAACCCGUCGAAAGACGGACUAAUACCGCGUACACUCCAUCUUGGGCAUCCAAGGUAGAGGAAAUGAAAUUCGCUGUGAGAUAGGCAUGCGUCCCAUUAGCUAGUUGGUGAGGUAACGGCUCACCAAGGCGACGAUGGGUAGGGGAACUGAGAGGUUGAACCCCCACACUGGUACUGAGACACGGACCAGACUCCUACGGGAGGCAGCAGUGAGGAAUAUUGGUCAAUGGGCGAGAGCCUGAACCAGCCAAGUCGCGUGAAGGAUGACUGUCUUAUGGAUUGUAAACUUAUUUUAUACGGGAAUAACAAGAGUCACGUGUGACUCCCUGCAUGUACCGUAUGAAUAAGCAUCGGCUAACUCCGUG
rnacentral:rRNA from 1 species